AGGAUUCCCCUAGUAACGGCGAGUGAAGAGGGAAAAGCUCAAAUUUUGAAUCCGACGUCUUCGACGUCCGAGUUGUAAUCUAGAGAAGUGUUUUCCGCGUCGGACCGUGCAAAAGUUCCCUGGAACGGGGCGUCAUAGAGGGUGAGAAUCCCGUACAUGGCACGGACUCCCGUCGCUCUGCGUCACACUCUCAACGAGUCGAGUUGUUUGGGAAUGCAGCUCAAAAUGGGUGGUAAAUUCCAUCUAAAGCUAAAUAUAGGCGAGAGACCGAUAGCGAACAAGUACCGUGAGGGAAAGAUGAAAAGCACUUUGGAAAGAGAGUGAAACAGUACGUGAAAUUGUUGAAAGGGAAGCGUUUGAAGUCAGUCGCGUCUGUCGGGAUUCAGCCUGGCUUCUGCCUGGUGUAUUUCCCGUCCGACGGGUCAGCAUCAGUUUCGACCGAGAGAAAAAGGCUUGGGGAAUGUGGCUGUCUUCGGGCAGUGUUAUAGCCUCUUGUCGUAUGUCUCGGUCGGGACUGAGGAACGCAGCGCGCCUUAUGGCCGGGGCUUGCUCCCUCGGUACGCGCUUAGGAUGCUGGCAUAAUGGCUUUAAGCGACCCGUCUUGAAACACGGACCAAGGAGUCUAACAUGUGCGCGAGUGUUUGGGUGUCAAACCCGAGCGCGAAAUGAAAGUGAAAGGUCGGGAUCACGUACGUGUGCACCGACGCCCGGAGCAGACCUACUGUGACGCAUYUGCGGCAGAGCGUAUAUGUUGGGACCCGAAAGAUGGUGAACUAUGCCUGAAUAGGGUGAAGCCAGAGGAAACUCUGG
rnacentral:rRNA from 1 species